GUUUCUUGGCUUGGGAGGGCAUUUAAUAACUCCCGACUGCGGGAGGCGGCUGGGGAGCGGGCUGGCAGCACCGGCCGGGGCGGUGAGCAGAGCUCCCGUGCCUCCCGGAGCCCCCAUCCAGGGCCGGCGGCGCUUCGGAGCCUUCCUGGAAGAAGUCGAUUUGUUCCCGUACCUGAAGCAGGUGAUGUUUAUGCAGAGACAUCUGAAUGACAGCAGGAGUGAAGGACAAAUCUAAUAAAGCCUAAUAAACCGUGAGAGUCUAAAUGUCAUUAAACUUACAAAGAUGAGACUCCAAAUCACCAAAAAGAGAGGAGACCUCUGAGGGAGAGAGGAGAGCGGUUUGGAGGAGAGGACGAAUGGAUUCCUGAGGGAAACAUCUCACGGUGCUCUUUGGUGGACCAAGAAGUGGACCUUCCAGUGGGCGUCCUGGGGAGGAGAGGAGCGGUGUCGGUCUGCGUUCUCCCGUGACAAAGGGGAACUGCUCGUUUAUUUGCCCUCUCCGGGGAGGGAAUAAACCCGAGGAGGCGACGCUUUGUGCUGAGCCACUGGUCUGUCCAUGCGCUCAGAGCUCUGGCACUCAGACAGGCCGAGGCAGCGGCCAAGCAGCCCCUGCCCUCUGCACCCACACCUCGUGAAGGUCUCUACGGUCUCCCCGUGUGUUCCUUCCAUAGGGAAUUCCACGCAACGUUGCCACUCUUUCUCCUGGUAGAUGUCCCCAGGAGCCUCAAGUAAAACAGCACCCCGAGGAGAAGGGCACGAAGCUCAUGGCAUGCAAACUCAUGGCUUUUUUUCCAAGCCACCCAGUAGACAAUGAGCGAUGGGGCAGGGUUGUGUAAAAGCCCUGCAUUCCCCAGAACGGGCUCUGUGUCUUUGUCUUUACAUAAAACUGUGCCCUUUGGCCAAACGCGCCUGUAACGAGCUUGUAAAACAAACCAGAAAUCUCAGCUCUUCCUCAAGUCUACAAGAGAGUCGCUUUAUUCCCAAAUCUUGCAAAUAUGUUGGGAGUGUUAGAAGUGGGACUAAAAAGCCCCCCUAGCAGAGAUGGUUACCUGCUGUGACCCUCCCUGCCACAGUCCCCUUCAGCAGACAUAUUAAAUCCCUUACCCGAAGAAAACAGGCACUUGUCACAAUUGAAGCCUGACGUACUGGGACGGCGGGAUGUCACCAUUUAGGGGACUUUACAUUUUCCCCGCAGGCCCUUCUUGAGCGGAUGUCCCUCACACGCCUCCACUAGAGGCCUGCAGGGACAGAGCUGCCCCGAUCUGAACGUUCCUGAGAUCCUCCUCCAGAGACGUCCCCCCUCUUGAGAUGUCCAGCUCGCUGUCUUCCCUGCCCAGCCCCAGCACCUCUCCCCUUGCCUUGCGGUCGGUUAUUUACGGAGGAUCCGACGAAGCGGCAGGUGGAUCCCCCCCAAAACCCCUUCGUGACGCCACCCCCCAGCCCGCCCCGUCGGUUCCCCCCGACGGAAGGUGCCAGGCCGAGCCCCCGGCAGCGGGGAGCGGUGCCUCCAGCCGGCCCCCGCCCUCCGACAGCACUCUGCCAUUCUUUCCCAGCUCUGAAGUAUGCGUUUUAUUAUAGAUUGUUUAAUUGGAUGAGCAACAUUCCCACCGCCCUGAGCACAGGCUAAGUGGAAAAAGGUUUACUUGGCAUCGCGAACCAAUUUCAGUUAAAAACAAAAAACAAAACAAAACAAAAACCCAAAAACCAACGACAGGCACACAAGCGAAGAAGCUCUCCACAUAUCGCCUGGGGGCUAAGCGAGCUUCCAAGGACCUGAGUCGUAAGGUUUCCCACCCAAAGCGGCCCUCAGCUCUUUUCUAACAGGGAGUCAGAAAGAAGGGGUGUCCGCUGUCCCCCAGCAUCUGGGCAGUCCCCCUCCCCCCCCCAACCCCGCUGCUUGCCAGCAUCUUGGCUAACAACCGGCGAUUGCUGAGCACUGGAGAAAUGUCCCACGUAGCCGAAGUUCAGUAUCUGUCAGGCGACGGAACGACGGCAAGAUUCAUUUUUAGGGCGUGAAUGGUUUCUUAGCCCACUCGCGGCUUUGUAACUUCCAACGAAAAGGCAGGGAAAAAAGGCAGGCGCGGCCGCAGGCGCGGCUCGGAGGAGCCCACCGAUCGCUCAGUCAUAAAAGUGUACAAUGGAGGGACUUUAUUGUCCCUCGUUAAGCGCUUCAUAAGUGACCCCGUUUAUUUCUGAAUAGCCGUGUUUUGAUGACUUAUAGUAUAUGCAAAAACAAACUUUCCCGCGGUGGGUUUUUUUUUUUUCCCUCCGUCAUGCUUUUCUUUUCAAACAGCCAGAUGAUUUUAAAAAGAAAAACACCCAGAAAUGAUAAAUCGCGUCGCAUAGCUAAUGGCUGGAGGGCGCGUUUACCAAUUCAUAAUCAUUUAUUCUUGGUGAUGUAUGACCCUUACUCUUAAAUCUCAAAAGCUUCUAUUUGAAGGUGUAAAUAGCUUUUUCCCCCCUUGCAGUAAACCUUACUGCAUUAGCAGUGAUUGAUCUCCUGUACAAUUCGUCCCAGAGUGCUAUUUUAGAGGGGGAACACUGGCUUUUGGAGAUUAACUGGGGAGUCUGUUACAUAUUAAUGAACCUAGGAGAUAUACUAACGUUUUGGUAAUUUAGUUAUUUGUGUCUAUAGCUUUCGCCGUUAUUUUCUCUUAGACCCCCGCGGUUGUUAUACAUCGAAUUAAAAAGUGGUCCUUCAGCAUCAUUUUUUCAGUGGCAACUAAACGCCAUUUAAUGUGAAAAACAAAUGUUGACUUGUCUCUUGAAGGAAGUGUGUUUCUUGGCAAGACAUCAAAGUGUUUUAAACUGUAUUAGAAGGGUUUGUUAGUUUUCUUACCCGGAGCCUACGGUAAUGUCAGAAAAUAGGCUCCCGGUGGAGGCGGCCGUCGGAGGGGGGAGCGGGCGCUGCGCGGCUCCGCGCAAAGGUGCGCGCUCGUGAGGCGGUUUGAGCCGCAGCACAAACGCACGGGCACCUCUUCGCCGGGAUUACAGCCUUGAUUAGCGUGCUAAUGAAUGGGGAUGUUAAAGAGCCGCCCGGAAACCCGUCUGUGAGAAGG
ensembl:lncRNA